rnacentral:misc_RNA from 1 species
GAUGAAGAACGUAGCGAAAUGCGAUAAGUAAUGUGAAUUGCAGAAUUCAGUGAAUCAUCGAAUCUUUGAACGCACAUUGCGCCCCUUGGUAUUCCGAGGGGCAUGCCUAUUCGAGCGUCAUUAUCACCCCUCAAGCCUAGCUUGGUGUUGAGGCCUGCUGUCAAGGCAGCCUCUAAAAUCAGUGGCAGUUCUGUCAGGCUCUAAGCGUAGUAAAUCUAAUCGCUAUAGACACCUGGUGGACACUCGCCAGAACCCCCCCAUUUUUUAAUGAUUGACCUCGGAUUAGGUAGGGAUACCCGCUGAACUUAAGCAUAUCAAUAAGCGGAGGA